UACAGAGGGUGCGAGCGUUAAUCGGAAUUACUGGGCGUAAAGCGCACGUAGGCGGCUUGGUAUGUCGGGUGUGAAAUCCCCGGGCUCAACCUGGGAACUGCAUCCGAAACUGCCUUGCUCGAGUAUGGGAGAGGGAAGUGGAAUUUCCGGUGUAGCGGUGAAAUGCGUAGAUAUCAGGAGGAACACCAAUAGCGAAGGCAGCUCGCUGGGACGGUAUUGACGCUGAGACGCGAAAGCGUGGGGAGCGAACAGG
rnacentral:rRNA from 1 species